GACGAACCGUGCGAACGUUGUUCGGAAUCACUGGGCUUAAAGGGCGCGUAGGCGGGCAUCAUAGUCAGGGGUGAAAUCCUCCGGCUCAACCGGAGAAGGGCCUUUGAUACUGGAUGCCUCGAGGGGUGCAGGGGCGUGCGGAACUUCGGGUGGAGCGGUGAAAUGCGUAGAUAUCAUUUGGAACGCCAAUGGUGAAAACAGGUUGCUGGGAGUGUGCUGACGCUGAGACACGAAAGCCAGGGGAGCGAACGGG
rnacentral:rRNA from 1 species